UGAUCCUGGCUCAGGAUGAACGCUGGCGGCGUGCCUAAUACAUGCAAGUCGAGCGAACAGACAAGGAGCUUGCUCCUUUGACGUUAGCGGCGGACGGGUGAGUAACACGUGGGUAACCUACCUAUAAGACUGGGAUAACUUCGGGAAACCGGAGCUAAUACCGGAUAAUAUUUCGAACCGCAUGGUUCGAUAGUGAAAGAUGGUUUUGCUAUCACUUAUAGAUGGACCCGCGCCGUAUUAGCUAGUUGGUAAGGUAACGGCUUACCAAGGCGACGAUACGUAGCCGACCUGAGAGGGUGAUCGGCCACACUGGAACUGAGACACGGUCCAGACUCCUACGGGAGGCAGCAGUAGGGAAUCUUCCGCAAUGGGCGAAAGCCUGACGGAGCAACGCCGCGUGAGUGAUGAAGGUCUUCGGAUCGUAAAACUCUGUUAUUAGGGAAGAACAUACGUGUAAGUAACUAUGCACGUCUUGACGGUACCUAAUCAGAAAGCCACGGCUAACUACGUGCCAGCAGCCGCGGUAAUACGUAGGUGGCAAGCGUUAUCCGGAAUUAUUGGGCGUAAAGCGCGCGUAGGCGGUUUUUUAAGUCUGAUGUGAAAGCCCACGGCUCAACCGUGGAGGGUCAUUGGAAACUGUAAAACUUGAGUGCAGAAGAGGAAAGUGGAAUUCCAUGUGUAGCGGUGAAAUGCGCAGAGAUAUGGAGGAACACCAGUGGCGAAGGCGACUUUCUGGUCUGUAACUGACGCUGAUGUGCGAAAGCGUGGGGAUCAAACAGGAUUAGAUACCCUGGUAGUCCACGCCGUAAACGAUGAGUGCUAAGUGUUAGGGGGUUUCCGCCCCUUAGUGCUGCAGCUAACGCAUUAAGCACUCCGCCUGGGGAGUACGACCGCAAGGUUGAAACUCAAAGGAAUUGACGGGGACCCGCACAAGCGGUGGAGCAUGUGGUUUAAUUCGAAGCAACGCGAAGAACCUUACCAAAUCUUGACAUCCUUUGACAACUCUAGAGAUAGAGCCUUCCCCUUCGGGGGACAAAGUGACAGGUGGUGCAUGGUUGUCGUCAGCUCGUGUCGUGAGAUGUUGGGUUAAGUCCCGCAACGAGCGCAACCCUUAAGCUUAGUUGCCAUCAUUAAGUUGGGCACUCUAAGUUGACUGCCGGUGACAAACCGGAGGAAGGUGGGGAUGACGUCAAAUCAUCAUGCCCCUUAUGAUUUGGGCUACACACGUGCUACAAUGGACAAUACAAAGGGCAGCGAAACCGCGAGGUCAAGCAAAUCCCAUAAAGUUGUUCUCAGUUCGGAUUGUAGUCUGCAACUCGACUACAUGAAGCUGGAAUCGCUAGUAAUCGUAGAUCAGCAUGCUACGGUGAAUACGUUCCCGGGUCUUGUACACACCGCCCGUCACACCACGAGAGUUUGUAACACCCGAAGCCGGUGGAGUAACCAUUUGGAGCUAGCCGUCGAAGGUGGGACAAAUGAUUGGGGUGAAGUCGUAACAAGGUAGCCGU
rnacentral:rRNA from 1 species